UUCGGAUUGUAGGCUGCAACCCGCCUACAUGAAGUUGGAAUUGCUAGUAAUCGCAGAUCAGAAUGCUGCGGUGAAUACGUUCCCGGGCCUUGUACACACCGCCCGUCACACCAUGGGAGCCGGUAAUACCCGAAGUCAGUAGUCUAACCGCAAGGGGGACGCUGCCGAAGGUAGGAUUGGCAACUGGGGUGAAGUCGUAACAAGGUAAC
rnacentral:rRNA from 1 species